GAAUAACGACAGAUAGUUCACAAUGCCUGGAACGGUUUGUGGAUGAAGAUAGGAUGGGUCUGCGGCGUAUCAGGUUGUAGGGGGUGUAACGGACCCCCUAGCCAUCGACGCGUACGGGUGUUGGGAGACAUAGCCCGGAGAUGGAUUCUGAGACACGAAUCCAGACCCUACGGGGUGCAGCAGGCGCGAAAACUUCACAAUGCAGGAAACUGUGAUGAGGGAACUCCAAGUGUGUGCAUUUUAUGUACACUUUUCUGAACUCUUAAUCGGUUCAGGAAUAAGGGCUGGGAAAGACCGGUGCCAGCCGCCGCGGUAAUACCGGCAGCUCAAGUGGUCGUCGCUUUUAUUGGGCCUAAAACGUCCGUAGCCUGUUUGGUAAAUCUGUGGGUAAAUCAACCAGCUUAACUGGUUGAAUUCUGCAGAGACUGCCAGACUAGGGACCGGGAGAGGUGUGGGGUACUCGAGGGGUAGGGGUAAAAUCCUGUCAUCCUUCGAGGACCACCAGUUGCGAAGGCGCCACACUGGAACGGAUCCGACGGUCAGGGACGAAGCCUAGGGGCACGAACCGGAUUAGAUACCCGGGUAGUCCUAGGUGUAAACGCUGUGAACUUGGUGUCGGGGGUCCGCAAGGGGUCCCCGGUGCCGGAGUGAAGAUGUUAAGUUCACUGCCUGGGGAGUACGGUCGCAAGGCUGAAACUUAAAGGAAUUGGCGGGGGAGCACUGCAACGGGAGGAGCGUGCGGUUUAAUUGGACUCAACGCCGGGA
rnacentral:rRNA from 1 species